rnacentral:lncRNA from 12 species
CUUCCUCUAAUAAACUUGUGCGCUCCCCCCCAGUCCCCCAACGCGGACCAUGAGCCGUGGCCGGCAUUCGCGUCUCCUCUAGCGGCUGAGCGAGACCGCACGGAUCCCGGAUUCCACCAACAAAGGGGUUACCCCGCGCGCCGUUUCCGCACAGGUGCGACCUCCACCCCAACCUUGCGCGCCGCGGGGCCGCAGCGCAGAGGGCUCGGGAGCGGCCGCCCGUGCCUGGGGCCGCCCCCGAGCCUCCGCCCGGCCCCGGCCCCGGCCCCGGCCCGCCGAGCCCCGCGCGGCGCCCGCCUCUCCGGAAACCCGAGGGCGGCCAGCCGGGCUUCAGGAUCCAGGCGGGGCCAGGGCGGCAACACCCCCGACGCCGCAGCAGCCUGCCCCGCGGGGCGUCCCCGUGGCUCCGCAACCGGCCUGGCGGCGGACGCAGCUCAGGACCCGCAGCUGGCCUCGCCACCGCGCUGGGGGCGGGGACGCUGUUACCUGCCGUGGGCUCGGCCGCUCCCCGCCGGCGCCGCUCUCCUGGCAACCGCGGCAGCGACGCGGAGGCCGGGAGCCGAAGGGCCUAGUGACAGCUCCCAGCGUGCACUGCGCCCGCGCCCGCGCCGGCGUCGACGUCGACGGCCCCGGGUCUCCGCCCCCCGGCGGCGCCUCGCCUCCAGGCGCUGGCUGUCGCCACAGCGCCCUCAAGCGCACGGCCGGGGAAGCCGCCCGAGGCCACCGACUAAGGGGGAUGGAUGGGCCUCCAAACGGAAGAGCAGGGCUUUUCAACUCGCAGGGGCCAGCCACGUCUUGAUGGAGAGUCGGAAAGAAUGCCAGGAAUUGAGAACAGCUUUUUUCUUUUCUUUUUUUUUUUUAAGAUUUUAUUUUUUUUUAUUCAUGAGAGACACAGGCAGAGGGAGAAGCAGGCCCCACGCAGGGAGCCCGACGUGGUUCUCGAUCCCCGGUCCCCAGGAUCAGGCCCGGCGCGAAACCCCUGAGACACCAGGGCUGCCCGAGAACAGCUUUUAUCUACUAUUUAAACGAUCCUUUAGGUGUUAA